GACGAACGCUGGCGGCGCGCCUAACACAUGCAAGUCGAACGGAGUCAAGAGGAGCUUGCUUUUCUUGACUUAGUGGCGAACGGGUGAGUAACGCGUGAGUAACCUGCCCUGGAGUGGGGGACAACAGUUGGAAACGACUGCUAAUACCGCAUAAGCCCACGGAUCUGCAUGGAUCUGCGGGAAAAGGAUUUAUUCGCUCUAGGAUGGACUCGCGUCCAAUUAGCUAGUUGGUGAGGUAACGGCCCACCAAGGCGACGAUUGGUAGCCGGACUGAGAGGUUGAACGGCCACAUUGGGACUGAGACACGGCCCAGACUCCUACGGGAGGGAGCAGUGGGGGAUAUUGCAAAAUGGGGGAAACCCUGAUGCAGCGACGCCGCGUGGAGGAAGAAGGUUUUCGGAUUGUAAACUCCUGUCGUUAGGGACGAUAAUGACGGUACCUAACAAGAAAGCACCAGCUAACUACGUG
rnacentral:rRNA from 1 species